UACGUAGGGGGCAAGCGUUGUCCGGAUUUAUUGGGCGUGAAGAGCGUGUAGGCGGCUUUGCAAGUCCGUUGUGAAAACUCGAGGCUCAACCUCGAGACGCCGGUGGAAACUGCAAAGCUAGAGUCCGGAAGAGGAGAGUGGAAUUCCUGGUGUAGCGGUGAAAUGCGCAGAUAUCAGGAAGAACACCCGUGGCGAAGGCGGCUUGCUGGGUCUGCACUGACACUGAGGGACGAAAGCUAGGGGAGCGAAAGGG
rnacentral:rRNA from 1 species